CCCUGCCCCGCUAGGGAAGGGCGACGCCGCGCCAGCCAAUCCUGGAGCCAGCGGGGCGGGGCCUGGCUAGCUGUCAUCCCCAGCGCCCAGACGGGGAAACUGAGGCCCGGGGGCUCGGGGCCCAGAGUCAGGCCCCCGGCGGAGCCUGCUCCGGGGCUGGUUUCCCAGAUGCUACGCGUUUGCGGACGGGAAGAGGCCCGCGGCGCCACCCUCAGAACACCCACGCCCGAGCGUGUCCUGGGCUCCUUUGCUCGCUCAGGCGCUCACGCUGGGCAGGAGGGAUUUGCACGGGGCAGGUACACACGAAGCUGACCUUGUGACCCCGUCAGGUGCACAGUUCGGCUACAAGUUGAACCGGGAAGCUGACAGAGGAGACAGGAAAACUCCAGGAAACAGCUGUGCCAGGGACGACGCAGGAUCCCUGCCCGCGACCCAGCUCCGUGUCUCAGCUCUGAGUGACGUCGGCAGCCGUCAGCGGCAGUCACCGGGGAGAUGGGCUGGCAGAGCCGAAUCCUCACCUCUUCCACCAGACAGGCAACAGCCUCCAGAACCACCUGCCCUCCUCCGUGACCGAUGAAGAGCGGGGACAAGGGCCGGUCUUCCCGGCAGCUCUCAGCUCUCGCUCACGAGUGGAAAGCGAGAAGGACAGCUAUGGCCGCACAGCUUUACCACGGAGCCAGCGUGAGGACGCGCGUGAGAGAAGCAGGCAGCGAGAGACCAAGUGGAUGGCUUCAGAUAACCCCGCGCGCACCCAAGGCUGGGCAGAAGGACGUGCCACACAGCGACCAGCGUUCCCACUGCGGGUGGACUGCUUUUGUUUGGGGUUUUGGGGGAACCCCAUCUGUUUGCUCCCCAAAUGUCCACAACAGGCAGGGCCGGGGCCAGGUAAUUAAUCUGGGCCUCCCACACGGGUGGCAGGGACCCACAUCCUGAGCCAUCCCUGCUGCUUCCCAGAGUCUGCUCCAGCAGGGGGCUGGAGGCCGGAGCUGGAGCGGGGGCCACACCCAGGCGCCCCAACAUGGAAC